rnacentral:snRNA from 1 species
UGAAUUUAGGGUGAUCUGGUUGUGACAUCUGCUGNCCCUUUGAUCACCAGGGCUGAUUUGACAGACCUGGCUGGCUAGGUAGNUGAACCUCUUCCUCCACAAUAUUCAAUAUGAAGUGUAUUUGGUGGGAAAGGACAACUUUCCCAGAUGAAAGGGGUAUACUCUUUUUCAGUCUAGUGUAUACACUAGUUCUGCUCCCUGCUAGAACUUCCAAAUGAGCUCAAGGUCCAUAUUGAAGGCCUUGAGGAAGGGACUGGAGAUAAGUCUUCCAACUGAAGAAGACUUCCAUGUGAAGAAGAGCAAGCCUGAUUUUUUUGACAU